AAAAGGUAGGAAAUGAAAGGAGGUAGGCUCACGCUGCCUGGAGGCAGUGGAAGGGUCAAAGUGACCUUUGAGAUUCUUUCUAGACCUAGAAGCCUGUUUAAGGUCCCCAUACCUGAUGUUCUUCUCUCUGCCUCCAUGCACCCACUGCUUCCCAAGGAAGUUGCUGUCAGGCAGUGUCCCCUGCUAGCUACCCUCAAGAUAUCUUGCUGUUCUCCAUGGGCCCUGGUCCUCACCUGGGAUUACUGGGAGAGGAGAGUUCAGUGGAGUUUCCCAGAAGCGACUUGACAGCUUAUAUAGAAGCACUCGAAGAAACCAGUUAUGUUUUUUUAUUA